ensembl:lincRNA
CGGCGGCCCCCGCCGGCACUCGCCCACCUGGAAGAUGUCUGCGGGGUUGGCGAGGGAGGGUGUCACCAGCAGGUGGGUGAGGGGUGCCCGGGGCCCAGCCUCCUCUGUCCCUGGGGGUUGACCCCACCCAUGCCCACCCUGGCCCGGCCGGCUCCUGGUCUGGUGGAGGGAGGGAGGGGAUCAGGGGUCAGGGGUCAGAAGGCCCAUCCAGAGCUGCCUGCCCCUGCCAAGGACUCAGAGAGGACAAUCCCACCAUCCCUGGACCCUUCUGUCCCUGAGUCCAGACUGGCUCUAAUGGGGAAGGGCCAUGGGGGCCAGGAGUCAGGAUGAGAGGCCUCUCCCACCCUGAGCUGUGGGAUCUGGGGCUAAGUCACGUCAUCUCUCGCAGCCUCGGUAAAAUGGGGCUGAUAAUGUACCUUUCUCACAGAGCUGCUGUGAGGCUGCAAAGAGAUGAAGCAUCAGAAGGUGAGCGUUAAGCUCACAGCCACCUCUCCUCAAUAAAUGCCCUUGUCCCCUGGCUCCAAGCUGACAUAGGGGACUUGGAGGACGCAAGCCCUGUCUCCCGUGGCUCUGUCCUGAGUGAUGGCAGGGAGAAGCCCCAGCCCAGCUGCUGGGGGAGGUCAGGCUCUCCUGUUCCCCAGCAGUCCGGUGCAAAGGCCCUGCUGUGCACCAGGCUCCUGGGUGAGCGCAGCAGCCCCACAGUGGACAGUGUGUGGGGGCCCCAGCCCUGGCCUUUGCGGCCUGAGGCUCCUUCCUCAGUCACCCCGUCCUCUGAUGGGUAGAUGGUCCGGGCCAGCUGGGCCGGGGGAGCAAAGGCGGGCAGCUCCAGGCGACUGGGCAGUGGGUAGUCAUCCAUGGCCGCUGGGGAGGUAUCUGGUGAGCUCCCCUGCCCAGUUGGUGGACGACCCACUCUACCCAGGGUACAUCCCUCCCGAGAGACCACCCCUGACCAUGGACCCCUGGGACCCACGGCAACUGGCCCCCAGCCCUCACACCUCGGUGGUAGAGCGCUGCCUUCUCUGCUUCCAGGCAGAAGUAGCCAAGCCCCGGCUGGCCUCUGUACUGAGAGACGCUGAAGAUGGUUCCUUGUUCCACGUCCAGCACCAGCUCCCCAUGGGCGCCCUCCAGCCGCUUCCCACACUCGUCCUGCAGACAGAGCGCGCAGCCUGGCCUCAGAGGCUUUACUCGGCAGCCCCCAUGCCCUCAGGGUCAGGGGGCCUCCAGAGCCCUGGUCUGACUAGGGUUGGCUCUGGCCGCUCUCCAGAUUGCUGCAGAUCCGGGGCAGCACCCAGAGGGGAAGGGUCACCCUCCCUGUCUACCCCAAAGCAUCGGAUGGUGCCUGCUCGGACCCCGAGCCUUACCUCACCCUAGUCCUGAGUGCCUUACACCCGGCAGGUGCUAGUAAGCGGCUGACGGGGCGUGAUGGGAUGGGUGGGGUGGCAUGGGUGGGUCGGAGGGGCAGGUGGGUGCUAAUGGCUGGGCAGGCCACACUCGGACCCCAGUGGGGCUUCUGUUUUGCACAUUCCCAACUCGGAGCAGCUCACACAGGCCUGGUUUUCCUGCCAGUGGGGGCUCUGGAGUCGGGGGUCCCUGCUCCUGGGCUGUCGUCACCUCCUCUAUGCCUCACCUUGGUCUCACAGUGGGCGGUGAUCCGGCCCUUCAGCACCGUCACCAGUGCAGAGAAGGUGCUCUGGGAGCGAGGGCUCCGGGACUCACGGGCAAGGGGCUGGGGGGCACCUGAUGCCCCCACUGAGAAGUGGGUGUCCUCGUCGUCCGAGUCCGAGUCUAGGGUGAGGUCAAGGAACUGAGUGGCAGGGAGGCGGGGGGGGGGGGGGGGGGGCUGCCAUGGCCCCCCGGGGCCCCGGGGCGCCCGUCCACCCCCGCCGGGGGGAGGGUCUGCCAUGGCCCCCAGGGUCCCUGGAGCACCCUUCCUACCCAGCCUGAGGGCAGACUUGCACAUCUUGAAGCUGUCGUGCCAGAGGCCCGAGGCACCUGGGCAGCCGGCGGCGGGAGCGGGGGCGGGGGCGGGGAGCAGGUCUGCGGGCUCCCACAUGAGCAGGUCGUUGUUGAUCCUGGGAGGACGGUGGGACCACGGCAGUGAGGGGGGCCCAGCCCAG